rnacentral:rRNA from 1 species
AGUGAACGCUGGCGGUAGGCCUAACACAUGCGAGUCGAACGGCAGCACAGUAAGAGCUUGCUCUUACGGGUGGCGAGUGGCGGACGGGUGAGGAAUACAUCGGAAUCUACUUUUUCGUGGGGGAUAACGUAGGGAAACUUACGCUAAUACCGCAUACGACCUACGGGUGAAAGCAGGGGAUCUUCGGACCUUGCGCGAUUGAAUGAGCCGAUGUCGGAUUAGCUAGUUGGCGGGGUAAAGGCCCACCAAGGCGACGAUCCGUAGCUGGUCUGAGAGGAUGAUCAGCCAAACUGGAACUGAGACACGGUCCAGACUCCUACGGGAGGCAGCAGUGGGGAAUAUUGGACAAUGGGCGCAAGCCUGAUCCAGCCAUAACGCGUGGGUGAAGAAGGCCUUCGGGUUGUAAAGCCCUUUUGUUGGGAAAGAAAAGCAGCAGGUUAAUACCCCGCUGUUCUGACGGUACCCAAAGAAUAAGCACCGGCUAACUUCGUG